GAUGAACGCUAGCGGCAGGCCUAAUACAUGCAAGCUGAACGGUAAAUAUUGUAGCAAUACAAUAUGAGAGUAGCGUAAGGGUGCGUAACACGUAUGCAAUCUGCCCUGUACAGGAGGAUAGCUCGGCGAAAGCCGGAUUAAUACUUCGUAAUAUUAUGGAGGGGCAUCUCUUUAUAAUUAAAGUCGCAAGAUGGUACAGGAUGAGCAUGCGUCUGAUUAGCUAGUUGGUAGUGUAACGGACUACCAAGGCGAUGAUCAGUAGGGGAACUGAGAGGUUGAUCCCCCACACUGGCACUGAGAUACGGGCCAGACUCCUACGGGAGGCAGCAGUAGGGAAUAUUGGUCAAUGGGUGAGAGCCUGAACCAGCCAUGCCGCGUGCAGGAAGAAGGCCUUCUGGGUUGUAAACUGCUUUUGCCGGGGGAUAAAAUUCCCAUGCGUGGGACAUUGAAGGUACCCGGUGAAUAAGCCACGGCUAACU
rnacentral:rRNA from 1 species